GAUGAACGCUGGCGGCGUGCCUAAUACAUGCCAGUCGAGCGAACAGACGAGGAGCUUGCUCCUCUGACGUUAGCGGCGGACGGGUGAGUAACACGUGGAUAACCUACCUAUAAGACUGGGAUAACUUCGGGAAACCGGAGCUAAUACCGGAUAAUAUAUUGAACCGCAUGGUUCAAUAGUGGAAGACGGUUUUGCUGUCACUUAUAGAUGGAUCCGCGCCGCAUUAGCUAGUUGGUAAGGUAACGGCUUACCAAGGCGACGAUGCGUAGCCGACCUGAGAGGGUGAUCGGCCACACUGGAACUUGGACACGGUCCAGACUCCUACGGGAGGCCGCAGUAGGGAAUCUUCCGCAAUGGGCGGAAGCCUGACGGAGCAACGCCGCGUGAGUGAUGAAGGUCUUCGGAUCGUAAAACUCUGUUAUUAGGGAAGAACAAAUGUGUAAGUAACUAUGCACGUCUUGACGGUACCUAAUCAGAAAGCCACGGCUAACUACGUG
rnacentral:rRNA from 1 species